rnacentral:tRNA from 1 species
GGAAACGUGCCUGAAUAUAAGGAACUCCUUGAUAGGGAGAACCACGGGGGUUAAAAUCCCCUCAUUUCCU